GGGUGCUCUGGAUCUUUCUGUCCGGAGCUUCAGUUUAGUCGAGGAUAGAAAGAGAAAGGCCCCGAGUCGAUACAUCAACCCGAGGCCACUCUGAACGUCUCAACAACGUCAGGUUAGCCUCUUACCCGCCGGAAGGCAAGGAUAAGGAGGUCA
rnacentral:antisense_RNA from 1 species